UCAACAGUAAAAAUUCAGAGA
rnacentral:piRNA from 1 species